rnacentral:rRNA from 1 species
GCUGGCGGCGUGCUUAACACAUGCAAGUCGAACGGAAAGGCCCUGCUUUUGUGGGGUGCUCGAGUGGCGAACGGGUGAGUAACACGUGAGUAACCUGCCCUUGACUUUGGGAUAACUUCAGGAAACUGGGGCUAAUACCGGAUAGGAGCUCCUGCUGCAUGGUGGGGGUUGGAAAGUUUCGGCGGUUGGGGAUGGACUCGCGGCUUAUCAGCUUGUUGGUGGGGUAGUGGCUUACCAAGGCUUUGACGGGUAGCCGGCCUGAGAGGGUGACCGGCCACAUUGGGACUGAGAUACGGCCCAGACUCCUACGGGAGGCAGCAGUGGGGAAUAUUGCACAAUGGGCGGAAGCCUGAUGCAGCAACGCCGCGUGCGGGAUGACGGCCUUCGGGUUGUAAACCGCUUUCGCCUGUGACGAAGCGUGAGUGACGGUAAUGGGUAAAGAAGCACCGGCUAACUACGUGCCAGCAGCCGCGGUGAUACGUAGGGUGCGAGCGUUGUCCGGAUUUAUUGGGCGUAAAGGGCUCGUAGGUGGUUGAUCGCGUCGGAAGUGUAAUCUUGGGGCUUAACCCUGAGCGUGCUUUCGAUACGGGUUGACUUGAGGAAGGUAGGGGAGAAUGGAAUUCCUGGUGGAGCGGUGGAAUGCGCAGAUAUCAGGAGGAACACCAGUGGCGAAGGCGGUUCUCUGGGCCUUUCCUGACGCUGAGGAGCGAAAGCGUGGGGAGCGAACAGGCUUAGAUACCCUGGUAGUCCACGCUGUAAACGGUGGGUACUAGGUGUGGGGUCCAUUCCACGGGUUCCGUGCCGUAGCUAACGCUUUAAGUACCCCGCCUGGGGAGUACGGCCGCAAGGCUAAAACUCAAAGGAAUUGACGGGGCCCCGCACAAGCGGCGGAGCAUGCGGAUUAAUUCGAUGCAACGCGUAGAACCUUACCUGGGUUUGACAUGGAUCGGGAGUGCUCAGAGAUGGGUGUGCCUCUUUUGGGGUCGGUUCACAGGUGGUGCAUGGCUGUCGUCAGCUCGUGUCGUGAGAUGUUGGGUUAAGUCCCGCAACGAGCGCAACCCUUGUUCACUGUUGCCAGCACGUUAUGGUGGGGACUCAGUGGAGACCGCCGGGGUCAACUCGGAGGAAGGUGGGGAUGACGUCAAGUCAUCAUGCCCCUUAUGUCCAGGGCUUCACGCAUGCUACAAUGGCUGGUACAGAGAGUGGCGAGCCUGUGAGGGUGAGCGAAUCUCGGAAAGCCGGUCUCAGUUCGGAUUGGGGUCUGCAACUCGACCUCAUGAAGUCGGAGUCGCUAGUAAUCGCAGAUCAGCAACGCUGCGGUGAAUACGUUCCCGGGGCUUGUACACACCGCCCGUCAAGUCAUGAAAGUUGGUAACACCCGAAGCCGGUGGCCUAACCGUUGUGGGGGAGCCGUCGAAGGUGGGACUGGUGAUUAGGACUAAG